rnacentral:rRNA from 1 species
GAUGAACGCUGACAGAAUGCUUAACACAUGCAAGUCAACUUGAACUUCGGUUUGGGUGGCGGACGGGUGAGUCACGCGUAAAGAACUUGCCUCACAGCUAGGGACAACAUUUGGAAACGAAUGCUAAUACCUGAUAUUAUGAUUAUAUGGCAUCGUAUAAUUAUGAAAGCUAUAUGCGCUGUGAGAGAGCUUUGCGUCCCAUUAGCUAGUUGGAGAGGUAACAGCUCACCAAGGCGAUGAUGGGUAGCCGGCCUGAGAGGGUGAUCGGCCACAAGGGGACUGAGACACGGCCCUUACUCCUACGGGAGGCAGCAGUGGGGAAUAUUGGACAAUGGACCGAGAGUCUGAUCCAGCAAUUCUGUGUGCACGAUGAAGUUUUUCGGAAUGUAAAGUGCUUUCAGUUGGGAAGAAAAAAAGGACGGUACCAACAGAAGAAGUGACGGCUAAAUACGU